rnacentral:rRNA from 1 species
ACGUAGGAUGCAAGCGUUGUCCGGAAUUAUUGGGCGUAAAGAGCGAGCAGGCGGCAUAUCAAGUUGGACGUGAAAUUUUAGGGCUUAACCCUAAAGGGUCGUCCAAAACUGGUAAGCUAGAGUGCAGGAGAGGAAAGCGGAAUUCCCGGUGUAGCGGUGGAAUGCGCAGAUAUCAGGAGGAACACCGAUGGCGAAGGCAGAUCUCUGGGCCGUAACUGACGCUGAGGAGCGAAAGCAUGGGGAGCGAACAGGA